UAUUCUUCCACUCAUUGACCUCUAAGUGGUCAGCUCGGGUGAAAUGUCCUUUUAGCUCCAAAAUGCUCCAAAGUCAUAGCUUUACUCCGAAAUGCACCUGAACCUGAAAACAUACCUAGAAGAGUAGAAAACAUAGAUAUAUAUAUAUAGUAAAAUACUAAUAUACCAUGGAUAAAAAUGGGUCAAAUCCAAGGUAUAUCAUAGUCUCCUAGUGGGGACCGGGAGGUCGGUGUCCUGCCUGGGGUCCGGAGGAAUUCAAUACCUGAGUACUUUUCCCCAACAGUUUGCCCAUUAUUUAUCGAUUUCGUCAGCAAAAAUCAGGGAAUAACCUGUGCACUCAAGUCAACCGGAGUUGCUCAUUCUCAGCAGGCUUCCACUAGGCAGGACUUUGCUCCAGUAAUCUCACUAUCCCGAGUUCCUCUCACGCUAGAGCCAUACUCUGAACCCGGGGGAGGACCGAUUCCCUUGUAGUAGACCGAGGCCUGGCGGUAUCUUCUUGAACUGCUGAUUUCUUGUUGAAGAUGGCGAAGCUCGGGACUUUUAGCUGUAUCUUGGAGAUGAUGGAGCCUGGAGAUUUGAUAAUCCCUGAAGAGGAGGCCUGAUGAUCGUAGAGGCAGGUCUGGAGGGUUCUGAGUAUUUUAAUGAGAUUUCUCAUGCUUGUUCGUCCUGAGGUUCCAAACCAGGGUUAGGACCUGAUGUAGUUUUCAUAUUCGGCACCUGGAUAGCUUCUAUCGAUUCUUCCCCGAUUUUGGAGAUUUCUCCUUCAACGUAGGAGAUUCGCUGAUGUUGCACUUUUUGUCAAAAGGAAAUGAUUUGAAUUUUGAAUCUUCGUCGAAACCCAUAAUUUAUGAAGCAUGCGGCUUUUCGGGAAUGCUCCUAACCGAUUCUGCUUUGUAGGCUUUUCUUUUCCUCCUUCUUUCUAUAUUUCUCGCUCAUCCGUCGACGAUAUUUCUGAUUCAGGUACAAUUUUCUUUUGUCCUUUUUCUUGUUCUUCGGAUUUCUCUUGGUAGAUCGAGUCUCUUAGCUUCUUAGGUUUGUGGGUUAGCUUUCUUACUACCACGAUCUGUUGGAUAGGAGUUAUCAGAACUAUGUCUAAGCGCUCCGCUUCCUCUGUUCCUGCGGUGGCUGAUAGGGCUAGAUUGAAAAGAAGGAUGGAUUCUCAAGUUUCUCGAUCCGACAGCUCCUCAGAGCCGUGCGAGGGAUCCGGCUGCGAACUGAUGGCUCCCCUACCGCUGUCCUGUGUUUAAGAAGCUCCCCGUUAGUGGGUCCUGCUUCGUCGGUUGGUGAGGAUGACCUGGCAGAGUGGCGGAAGAGAUAGUCCCUUCCUCCUUUCGUUGCUCUCCGGGUUCCUACUUCGGAGGAACGUGCCUCUAGCUAUAUCCCGGGAGAUCUCUUUUAUUCCGGCCUCGGGGGGGGGGGGGGGGGGGGUGAUUCGUGCCCUGAUUUUUGGUUUAUGGGGAAACCGAAAUGGUGAGAACUGACAUAACCCAAUGUCGUCGCGAUUCUCGGGAAGUGGGAUACCACGCACAUUGGCUUGAUUUGACUUGUCGGCCAUUUUUCAAAUCGUGUGGUUGAGAUCGAUAGUUCGUGGCCGGUUAAAAUUAAACGCUUCAGGAACCAUUUUUUAUGUUUAUAUAUUAUUCUUUACUGAAUAUAUCGUCUUCUUCAACACAACAGUUUUACUUUCUCUCUUAUUUUCUUCCUCUUGGUAUUUCUUCCUGUUUCGAAUUUAUGGCGUCUGAAAAAUUCAGUCCUGAUCUCCCAACGAUUAUCGAUGUGAAACAUAUCGAGGCCAUCUAAGAACUCUGGCGAGUUGAUUAUGCCGUCGAGAUCGAAGUUCCUGGCGACAAUGAAACUCUGGAGACUGUGUGAUAUGCUUUGGAUCGAGAAUCGUCCUGUUUGGUUCAUGGACACGUUACAAGGUGGCGUUUUUUUUACCAGCUCCACCAAACUGAGGUUUUCAUGUCUGAUCAUGCCAGUACUACUGCCCGUGUCAUUCCAUCUGAUCAUUCCGUCCAUACUGAUCAUAAUUUUCCUUUGGAUCGUGCUGAUCAGACCGUCUGUACUGACCCAUCUGAUCACCCCGACCGUACCACGUAUGCUGUCCAUCUUAUUGACCCACGAACGUCCGUAUUGGAGCUCAGUCUGGAACCACUACCUAGAGAUGGAUUUGAUCGACACACUUUACUUUUUCCCAUCCAAUUCAACAUUCUAAGACUGAUACACGCCAGAUUCAACUAGGAACGAGAAGAAUCCGAAGAUGUUCACAGAUUUUCUCUUAUGGCCCUUUUGGUGCGUCUUGCGUGUCCCGAAAGCUAUCCUGAAGUCCUUUCUUCAGUGCCCGACCCAUUGAUGGAUUUCUCUCAUCCAUAUUUCACUAAGGCAUGGAAACUCAGCUGUCUGAAGACUUGUCUUACACCAGUACACAUAUUGAUCCUGAAAACCAACCGGCGGGUCAUGUGGAGUGUCCGGCGUGUCAUGUGGAGUGUCCGGCGUGUCUGUGGAUCGUCCCGCGUGUGUCCUAUCCUUACCUUCAUAGACCUGCACGACCAGAAUGAACCUGGACAUCAGCUGAAGAGUCAUUUUUUCAGAUCUGGAAAUGAAGGGUCUUUGACUCUCUUUAAUAUUUUGUAGUCUUUGUUUUCAUUUUCUAGGUGUAAUUUUCCACAAACUCUUUAAGUCUUUCUUUGACUCAAACUAGUAUAAAUAUGUAAUCACAUCCAAGGAAUAAAUCAGAUUGUUUUCCUUUUUAAUGAGUUUAUCUCUUUGUUCUUUGUUUAGAACACCUCUUAGUUUUCUUAGUGUGGUUAGCUCCGAGUUAAACGCCUUUUUCUUAUUGGACCGGUUCGUCACAUCGGCAACAGAUCGAGUUUGCUUCCUUGUCGGACCUGUGAGUCAUAUCAGGCGACAAUCAAGCACCCUGGUAGUAUCAUUGGGCCAUCCGCAACCAUUUGUAUCACCGUUCAUUCCAUCAGUUCUCCUUCAUCACGGAUCAAAUCCAUAUCUUUCCUUACCGGUAGAGUGUUCGUUCCUUAGGGCGCAUCACUGUCAGGCCGGGGUACUGCGGGGCCUACAUGUCGCAUUUCGGAUGAAUAAUGAUGGCAUAUUCUGAGAUCAAUUCUUGAUAAUUGUGUUGUUUUGAGCCUUGAUGAUAUUGUGGUUUACAACACUUUCUUUGAAAACAUCUUGAGUUUUUGAUAGUUGAUUUUCAAUCUGAACUUUAGCUUGUGUGUUCAGAUGUUGAGCAGGAUAUGCACGUCUUGAAAAUGAAUACUAUUGUUGCAUAUCUUGAUUAAAUCCAGGUCUGUAAUGUCUACUUUUAUGUGCAUCUUGACAAGCUGAAAUGUGUGCUACUUGUUCUUGGUAAAGAUAUCAUGAUUUUUUAUUUGAACAAGUAUUUGUCUUGCACAUUUGAUCCUGGUCUUUUAGUGUUUGUUUUGAGUAUCCAGGAAAGACAGGUUCAGCCUCUGAGAAAUGAAAGAAUUGACCGUGGCCAACAGCCUGAGAUUUGGAGAAGCUUUGUUGUCCAAGCCGGCUACCUUGGAGAUGCCAGCGACAGGGGUUCAGUCCAAAAAGGAUAUCUCAACAAUCAAAAGGUCUUUUGUCAUGAAUCCAAUUUCCCUGGAAAGCCAACUAACCAAGGAUUUACUGAGGCUUAGAAUCACUUGAAAAUCUUCAAGGAGGAAGCAGUUAUGAGUUUUCCAAACCAGAGGUUCUCCAGUCUGUUUAUCCGCGAGUACCAGACUUCAAAAGGAGAUUGAGGCCCAAGAAAGAAGCGGCCUGAGCCAAAACCGAUCCUCCAUGAACCAAAGGUGUUUCCUCAGUCAACUUACUGUCCAAACCAAAAGCACUGUAAGUAUCAUGGGUUGAUUGUCUCUGCUCAUCAUGAAAACGUUUUGAAUCCGAGAAUUUCCAAAAGAAAACACAUCUUUACUUGGUUGAAAAACGUUUUGUUUAAACCUUUUAAUGAAUUGUUUUCAUUGAGCUGCGCUUUGAAAGACAUUUGGUUUAGGAAAAGGCAUGAACCAAAAUUGCUUAGGAAAAAAAUCAAUUUGAUUUCAUUCAUGAUGAGAAUUUUUCGAAAUUGGCACUGUAUCAUUCUUUUCCUAACAGUUUCACAGCUCGGCCUGAUUUUGAUAUCGAUAAACUGAGUUUUGGGAAACAUUUUACUUGUUUGAAGUUUGCUCACGUUCUUGAUGAUUAUCCUAAGAGCUUGGAUCCUGUUUUUGAUGACUUCAGGUUAGAGAAACCCUUUGAUUAUUUCUUUCGUAGAUUUGAUGUGGUUUGUCUAGUUGUUUUGAAAGUGCAUAUAAAGGAUCAGUUUCUGAUGGAAGCAAGCAAACGAGGACGACAUAACACUUGUGUUCUUGGAACAUGGAACUGGAAAUACUUGAGGAAAACAAGUUCAAAACUCCAAGGAAUUAAGUUUCUCUCCAAAUUUAUCCUUCAACGAAUUUUACUUGUUCUUAAAAUUCUUUUUGUCUGAUUCAUUUUCUUUUGAUUCAGGUAAAAUGGAUUUGAGGACAAAUGCUUUUGAAGAGGGAGGGUAUGAUAUGCCCUGGAUCGAGCACCAUCCUGUUUGGUUCAUGGACACGGCCCAAGGUAGACUUCUUGUUUACCAGCUCGACCAAACCGAGGUUUUCAUGUCGGAUCAUGCCAGUCCUACUGCCCAUGUCAUUCCAUCUGAUCAUUCUGUCCAUUCUGAACAUAAUUUCCUUUUGGAUCGUGCUGAUCAGACCGUCCAUACUGACCCAUCUGAUCACCCCGACCGUACCGCGUGUGCUGUCCAUCGUAUUCACCCACGAACGUCCGUAUUGGAGCUUAGUCUGGAACCACGACCUAGAGAUGGAUUUGAUCGACCUACUUCACUUCUUUACCAGCCAAUUCAACAUUCUAAGACUGAUAGUCAAGACAGGUUCAACUUGGGACGAGAAGAAUCCGAAGAUGUUCACAGAUUUUCUCUUAUGGCCCUUUUGGUGCGUCCGGCGUGUCCCGAAGGCUGUCCCGACGUCCUUGCUUCAGUGCCCGACCCAUUGAUGGAUUUCUGUCAUCUAUAUUUCACUAAGGAAUGGAAACUCAACUGUCUGAUGACUUGUCUCACACCAGUAGACAUCUUGGUCAUAAAAAUCAACUGGCGGGUCAUGUGGAGUGUCGGGCGUGUCUGUGGAUCAUCCCGCAUGUGUCAUAUCCUUCCCAUCAUGGACCAGCACGACCAGAAUGAACCUGGAUAUCAGCUGAAGAGUCAUUUUCAUUCAGAUCUGGAAAUCAAGAGUCUUUGACUCUUUUUAAUAUUUUCUAGUCUUUCAUUUUCUAGGUGUGAUUUUCCACAAACUCUUUAAGUCUUUCUUUGACUCAAACUAGUAUAAAUAUGUAAUCACAUCCAAGGAAUAAAUCAGAUUGUUUUCCCUUUUUAUGAGUUUAUCUCUUUUUUCUUUGUUUAGAACACCUCUUAGUUUUCUUGGUGUGGUUAGCUCCAAGUUAAACGCCUCUUUCUUAUUGGACCGGUGCGUCACAUCCGGCAACAGAUCGAGUUUGCUUCCUUGUCGGACCUAUGAGUCAUAUCAUGCGACAAUCAAGCACUCUGGUAGUAUCAUUGGGCCAUCCACAACCAUUUUUGUCACCGUUCAUUCCAUCAGUUCUCCUUCCUCACGGAUCAAAUCCAUAUAUUUCCUUACCGGUCGAGUGUUCGUUCCUUAGGGCGCAUCACUGUGAGGUCGGGCUACUGCAGGGCCUACAUGUCGCAUUUCGGAGACGGAGGCUUGUCAUUUCCUCCUCCUCGUUUUCUUCUUGAGGCGCUUGCGGAGCUUAGGAUGGAUUUUGCCCAGAUGGCGCCUAAUUUCUACCGCUACUUCUUGGCUUCGUGGAUCCGAGCUAGGGAGGAAGGUCUCGAGUUUGGCCUCGGGGUAUUAAUGCAACUGUUUGCUAUUAAGCAGAACAGUGGCUUCCCUGCCACGAUGAUUCUCGCUCCUCGAGCCGGCCGUUCUAUCAUAGACGGUAUCCCUAACAGGGACAACCGGUGUAGAGAGAAGGUUUUUGUCUUCAAGAUUAACCCAGCGUCAGUCAGCGACUUUGAUUUCGGAAGGACCCCUAGGGAGUGGUCUGACGAGAUUGGUAAGUUUUUGUUUUUCAAAGUGAAUUCUGCUCUUCGAUCUCUUUUGGCGUUUUUUUAACUCUUCUCCACUUAUUUGUAGAGCCCUUUUGUCCUGCACCUAUGACUCCCGAGCUUCAUGGACUAAUCGCCACUCUGCGGCGAGGUAACCCUCGAUGGCUCGCAUUUACCGUAGAUCAAAUUGGAGCUGCUUACGCUCUUGCACCGGGUGAAAACCGAGCUACCCCUACUGGUCUGGCGGCUCCCGUUCGACUAGAGAAGGGUCGUCGUAACAAAAGUAAGCUGAUCUUUCUUUUCUCUUCUUUUUCGAAAAGAUCCGAGCUAGAUUGUUUGAGUGUUCCUCAAUUCUCCAAAUCUGUUUCGUUCAGGAGCGAGGGAGAGGGAGGUAUUACCCAAUCGUCCUGGCGAGUCCUCUGAGCCCGGGUCAUUGGAACGAGCUUAGAAAGCUCGGCGCGGACCAACUGUAAGAAAAAGGUCACAGGCUCAGUCUCCUGGCCUUAUGGCUAGGCCGGUGUCGAUCGCCGUUCCUGUUGGUGGGGCCCGAAGGACGUCGAACACUUAAGCCGGUUCGGUCGGUGAUCAAGCUAUUGAUGACGACGUCGAUUCAUCGACUCAUCGACGCCGACGUCGAGCUCUAUAGAAUAUCAAUUUUGUGAGUUUGAAUUCACCGAGCUCGGGGCUUCCUCCGCUGUUGCGGGUUUCUUGCGAAGGUACUUCUCAGGUUGACCCGAGUGCUCAUCUCCUGGAAGUGCAUGAGACCUCUUCGUGUAGAUUUUUGUACGAUAACGAGGUACUGAUCCUCGAGAACCCGAGCGUCUCGCCUUGAUCUGGCGUAAGAUCAGGGAGAAAGGAUGGAAGCUUCCUUCUUUGGGGGACAUGUCAGAACGUGACGCUUACGUUCGGAUGGCGGUCGCGAAUGCUAAGGCUAUGGAGGCGAGCAAUGAAUAUGCCGCUUUGAUGGAGAAGCGGCUGGCUGACUUUCCGAGCAAAGAGGAGGUCGGGAGUCAUCUUCUCUCCAUUCAGCAACUUCGAGGUGAGUUGGAGGCCAUUCGAGUGAUGGAGCUGCAGGGUGCAGUCGAGAUUGAGGGACUGAAGGGGAAGUUGCGUGCUGUUGAGACGGAGAAAGUAGCUGUUCAGAAUGACCUCCACUCAAUGAAAGAAAAGCAUAGGCGGGAGAUCAAAGUUCGUGACGCGGAAACUCGCAAGGAGUGCGAUCUUGCUCCUCCUUCUCUGGCUCGAGAAUAUGACGCGGUUCUGACCAUGGUGAAGGAUAAGCUUCAGAAAAAGAAGAAGGAGACGGCUGCGGAGAUUUGUUUGCAGGAGGUGUGAGCUCGUAUUGAGGCUUUGACCGAGUACAACAAAGGUUGUUUCGAGCUCGAAGAGGAGUUGGAGCGUCUUAGAUACCAGGAGGUCUCACUCGAUGUUGAUUAUGGUCUUGCUUUGGUGUCGGAUCCAUCCCUUAGUCGCCUCGAACUUCCUGAGGUUUCUGGUGACUCGGUCAAUCAAGACUGAUGCAAAAAUUAAUCUGCUUGCUUUGGAGUUUGUAAUUUGCUUCUUUUUUUUCCUUUUGGUUUGUUGAAGAAACAUAUGUGUAUUCAAAAUGAAUUAUCGGGUUAAUACCUUUCUAAUCGAAUGAUUUUUCAACUUUAGCUUCAUUGAGCUUGUUUGUUUUAUCCUUUAGAAGGCGUAAAACAGAGACUGAUUAGGAAUCUGUUUUGUGGGCCUUUAUACGGCCUGAAGGCAUAAUCGAUUGGGUGGGUUAUGCUAGUAGUUCAAGUCUUCUAAGUGAUAGAAGGAAAGUGACAAAAGUUUGUUUGGUUGUUUGGGCUUCUAUCACUUAGAAGACUUGAACUACUAGCAUAACCCACCCAAUCGAUUAUGCCCUCAGGCCAUAUAAAGGCCCACGAAACAGAUUCCUAAUCAGUCUCUGUUUUCUACGCCUUCUAAAGGAUAAAACAAACAAGCUCAAUGAAGCUAAAGUUGAACAAAGCAUUCGAUUAGAAAGGUAUUAAUCCGAUUAUCCAUUUUGAACACAUAUAUAUGUUUCUUCAACUAACCAAAAGGGAAAAAAGAAGAAGCAAAUUACAAACUCCAAAGCAAGUAGAUUAAUUUUUGCAUCAGUCUUGAUAGACCGAGUCACCAGAAACCUCAGGAAGUUCGAGGCGACUAAGGGAAGGAUCCGACACCGAAGCAAGACCAUAAUCAACAUCGAGUGAGACCUCCUGGUAUCUAAGACGCUCCAACUCCUCUUCGAUCUCGAAACCACCUUCGCUGUACUCGGUCAAAGCCUCAAUACGAGCUCGCACCUCCUGCAAACGAAUCUCCGCAGCCGUCUCCUUUUUCUAUUUCUGAAGCUUAUCCUUCACUACGGCCAGAACCGCGUCAUAUUCAUGAGCCAAAGAAUGACAAGCAAGAUCGCACUCUUUGCGAGUUGCCGCGUCACGACCUUCGAUCUCCAACCUAUUCUUUUCUUUCAUUGAGUCGAGGUCAUUCUGAACAGAGACCUUCUCCGUCUCAGCAUCAGCCAACUUCCCCUUCAAUCCCUCAAUCUCGACUUCAUGCUGCUGCACCGUUACUUGAACGGCCUCCAACUCACCUCGAAGUUGCUGAAUUGUGAGAAGAUGACUCCCGACAUCUUCUUUGCUCGGAAAGUCAGCCAGUCGCUUCUCCAUCCAAGCGGCAUAUUCAUUGCUCGCCUCCAUAGCCUAAGCAAAAGCGAUAAUAAAGUUCAGACAGCCAUCAUUUUAUCCAAAUAAAACGUCAGAAGCAAUCGCAUGAUAGAUUACCUUAGCAUUCGCGACCGCCAUCCAAACGUAAGCGUCGCAUUCUCGCAUGUCCCCCAAAGAUGGAAGCUCGCAUCCCUUCUCCCUGAUCUUACGCCAGAUUAAGGCGAGACGCUCGGGGUUCUCGAGGAUCAGUACCACGUUAUCGUACGAAAAUCUCCACGAAGAGAUCUCCUGCACUUCCGGGAGAUGAGCACUCGGGUCAACCUGAGAAGUACUUUCGCCACGAAGAGGUCUCCUUCACUUCCAACGUGAUUUAAAGAAUGCUUUCUUGCAGAUUGCUUUAUCCAAUUCUCGCUUAGUUUGCAUCUUGUUAGGAGGAAAGGGUGGCAAAAUCCUAUACACUCUCUCUACUGCCGGCUUGGCAGGAGUAGAGCGUCGAUCAACAUUGUCUUCAUUCUGUCGAUCGAUAUUUACCAUAGUCGGUCGAUCGUCAUUAUUCCGUUCUUGUCGAUCGAUUUCCACAUCUUCUUCCGACUCCUCCUCUUCUUUAUCGAGGUUAAUCGUUGCCUUUUCAGCUUCAGGGGGUUUUUCUGCAGAAGUGAUUUCUACAGUGCUCGGGGAAAGGCGUUUUCCGCUUCUUAGUACCACAGCACAACCUUGACGUCUUGGGUUGGUGUCAGUUUUCCAGGAAGGAAUCCUUCAUCCCUUCUGACAAACCCAGCGUUAUGCGCAACUUGGCUAUCCAAUUUCUUGACAUGCUCACUCAAAGUUUCAAACUUCUCAUGUAAAUCAGAAUACACGGAAUCUAAUUUUUCAUCGAGAACCGCACUCAUUUUCUGCUGGCCUUUUAGAACUUGCCCCAUCAUAUAUUCCAGCUUGCUCUUAUGAGUUUGUUCUGCCUUGUAGGUCCUUGUGAAGCUUAUGUUUUGCUGCUGAUCGGCAAGUCUUUGUUUGCGAAAGCCAGUUUCAUCGAUGAGGUCUACAUGCUCUUUUUCAUCUCCUUCACGUAGAAAAGUCUGACUCUCAUCGGUAGACCAAACUUGCUCAUCUCCAAUCACAAAAGCAUGAACUAAAUCUGACGUUUCUUUCACCUCAGAUAUCCGAUCUCCAUUCGAAUUCUCGGCCAUCUUCCUCCUCUCGAGAUCAGUCUUUUUGGCACUAGUGCUAGACGCCACAUUUUCAAUGAGCCUUGUAGCUUCUUCAGGUGUUGGUUUUGAAGUUCCCUUGACUCGCAGCGUCCAAAGUUGCUUGGUAUGUCCAGUCGAGACCUCUGAAGAAAAUAUUAAGUAGCUGGAUUUCGGGAAAACCAUGGUGUGGGCAGUCUCGCUGAUAGGCUUUGAAUCUCAACCAAGAAGCCUUAAAAGCUUCAGUAGUGCCUUGAGAAAAAUUAUUGAUCUUAUUCCUAAAUUCCUCGGUUCGUGCAUCAUCGAAGAAGUUGUUGAGGAAGACGCUUUUGAUAUCACUCGAGCAAGUCAAAGAUCCUGGCUGCAAUUGUUUCAGCCAGUGCCUCGCAUCUCCAGCAAGGGAGUGCGGGAAGAGUUUGCAAAAUAGGUAGUCUUCAGAGACUCCAUGCACAUUGAUGUUAAACACAAAGUCCUCAAUGCUUCGAUAUGGUCUAUGGGGUUUUCAUGAGGAAGACCAUGAGAGGGGUCCUGACUUACUAGAUAAAAAUAUUUGGGUUUCAGUUCAAAGUCUUUUCUUUGAAUUGCUGGAGGACAGAUCGCAGACAUGUUAGUGUAGAACCGAUCAGGUCUGUCGCAAUCUCCAAGCGCUCGGUGAUGCUCCGGCCAGCAUUCAAAACAACAGCUACUCCAAUAGGAAUUGGAGCCCUAUGUCUAUAAUUAAUUUGGUUUGAUGCAUUGCAUACUCGACCUUUUUGAUCUCCUACAACUACUUUUUCAUUAUCGAAACAGGUAAGAACAUACUUACUUGCUAGCGGAAUGUCGAUCGACUUUUCGGUCGACCCGUCGCUCGAUGUUGUUGUCUGAGCGUCGAUAUAUUUCGGGGGCGAAAUUCAUGUCUUCCAUGUUAAGUACCUGUGUCAGCAGGGGAAGAGGAAAAACUUAAGCAGAAGCAGAUUCAGUAACCCUUUAAACUUAAGUCCCCAGCAACGGCGCCAAAUUUGUUAUUACUCAAAUUACCCUAAGGAGUGAAUUACUCUCUCAAAUAAGAGGUUCCGAUAUAGUACUUAGGGAUCAAAUCCACAUAGACUCUAGGAUUACACAAUAGAUUUAUAGUAUUCGAAUUAAGGCUAGAUUAAAUGAUUUAUAGGUUUUAAAGCACUAAAUGAAUUGGUGAGCAAAAUAAUUGCUCGAUUGAUUUUAUUUGAGGUUGUUUAUAGUUGGGAGAAUAGCUAGAUUUAGGUAUGUUCUUAGGUAUGAUAAGUAAUACUUAAGUUGGGUCUUUAGGGGUUUAUUGAUAUUAAUUGUUCUUGAAUUCAAACUAAGAUAUAAUCAAUCUGAUUAUCUAAUCUGGAUCUCGGAUUUCAUUAUCGUAUGUUAAUCGCGAGAAAGUGUCGAUCGAUGAUUCGUUAAGAACGUCGAUCGUUACACUUUUCAAAAUUUUGAUCGCCAGAGAUGUCGUUGCGUCGAUCGAUUCUUCUUCCAGAAAGCUUUACGGACAAGUUUGAUUUAUAUUCUCUAACUCACUAGAUCAACUCUCGUCUGUAUUUAGUCAGUUAGAUCAUACUAGUUUAUUUUCACGUAUUGGGUCAAGCAAUGGCUUGAUUCUAAUUAAUCCUAAGAUCUAAGUUUAAAGGGUGAUCAAUCCUAAACUUAGCUUUGAGAACAACUAGAUGAAGAACUAUGUUUUUAAACACCCUAGCAACAGUUUAAUUCAGUAUUACAUGUAUCAACCUAUUGAGAAACCUAAACCUAACAGCAAGAACUACUCAGACAUAUUCAUAAAGCACGCGUCUCCCUCGCGGUCGCCACAGGCGACUGGCACACGUCUUCUUCGUGGUAUCCAUGGGCGACCAGUUCCUCGUCUCUCCGGGUCGCCACAGGGCGAUCAGCUCCUCAUUCUUCCGGGCUGGCAUGGAGCGGUCGUCACAAUGCUUACGGAUAACCCGCCAGUCAUGUUCGACGUCCCGUUGAUGUUACCGUUGGAGAAUUACGAUUAAACAACUAAAGUACGUCUUUCUACGAAUUCAAAUGGACCGUGCAAAAAGACAAUGGUUAAAUUAAACCGCGUGGGCCGCAUAGCCGGUUUGAGUAUUCAACAAAGACGAAGCCGUAUCAAGAACGACUCUUUGGGAAAUUAUCCGUAAGCAAACCAACAAAGGUCCAAAGCUCUGAAGCAAGCCCGUCUGCAAAGAAAAGAGCCCAAGGAUAUCAUGACGGUUUAACUUCCAUACGCGGGAAAGGAUAAAUAUUAAGCCUUGGAGAAGAAGAUAAAGAUGGAGCAAAAAAAGGAAUAUUCUCGAGAAGAGAUAACUACGGCCCGAGGAUAGAAAAGGAAAGCGCAAGCAGACUUAGGUGGGAUAUAUUAGAAGAACCAAGAGAGGCUUCAAAAGGGAGAGAUAGAGAAAAUAACUUAGCAUCUAGAGCAAUAGGUUACUUUCCGUUUAUCAGAAUCGAGCUGCGUCUCAACUAGAGUUUUUAUAGUCUUAGGUUAUCGAAACUAGGAACGAGACACAAUUCUUUUUACUCUUAGAACUCUCUGCACUUAGAAAUUUUAGGCAUUAUUCUUGACAUGUUCUGUUUCUAUGACUGGCACCUGACUACCAGACGAACUCGCACAGGCAGUUCGAUCUCUUGGUUCAAUCUUUCGAUCGAACAACGUUCGGCUUGAUCCUUGAAAGGGGUACGUAAGAAGCCUUUCAUAAGGUUCAGUCCGAAAUCAAAUCAAAACCUUUUUCGUGUCUUUUUCAUGUUUUGUUAUCGAGCUGCGACUCAACUAGGAUUAAGGUUUUAGGUUGCUAGAACUAUGUAACUCGCUGAUAAAUCUUGUGGGCAAAGCUUUUUAUUAUCUCUUGUAAUGAUCGCAACGCUCUUACGAGGAUUCAAAAUAAGAUUUACCUUUUCUAUAAAUUCGUUUUUUAUCUUUUCAUAUUCUCCGCAUUUAUUUGGUCACUUAUCGUUGGCUCUCGCAGAAAAUCCGGGACCUCAGGGAAAGUUAGGGUUUCUUGACUUUUCUCCAAUUAUGAAAAUCGACGGUGUGAAUUUGGUUCCCACAGAAGUCUUGGUUGUGCAUGGGAAAAAUAAUUCAACAACAAUCACUAAUUUUGGUCUUUAGUCAAAGCUUCAUUUCUAGUUUCUAUGUUUCUUGUUUUUAGUACAUUCAUUCUUGUUUUCUACAACUUGUAGCCUAUAUCAUCAGGUCAAAGAGCCACGAAAUAAGGCAUUCAUUUUUCCUCCUUUUAUGAGUUUAUCUCUUUUUUCUUUGUCUAGAAUACUUCUCGUUGCUUGUUGAGGUUAUCUCCAAGUAGACAACCCUUCCUUUACUAGACUUGGGCGUUAUAUAAAGCAACAAUCGAAGUUCGGUAGUAUUAAGAGAUUCUCCGCCCCUAUUUUGUCACCAUUCAAUCCAUCAGUUCUCAUUCGAACUGCCUGAGUUCAUAUCCAAAGUCUCGUUGAGCGAUCCUUCCUAAUUUGGGCGUAUCAAUAAGGUUGAGAGCCAAAUGGCAAAAUGGGUGGAGAGAAAAAAUCAAAAGUUGAGCAAACAAAAAGAAAUACAUGGAACAGUGACAAGGGCCUCUGCUAGGGCUUCCCAGUCACUGCAUAUGGAUGGAAAAAGUGGCUCCAAUUCUCCUGGUCCGGAUCCUUCACAGAAAAGUCUGAGCAAUAAGAAGAAGAGUAACAAAAAUAAGGGUCGUUCCAAAAAACAUCAUCAUCAAUGACGGGGGUUUUCUGGAAUAUUUGUGGUCUUAACAAGCAAAACAAGCAUGAUAUUGUUGUUGGGGUCAAAAACGGUUACGACGGAAUUACCACCCGAAAAUCCUCGGAGAUCGUAUUUCCGAAAGAGAUAGUAAAAGGAGAGAUGUAAUUUUCGUAAAAAUAACCAAUACGAAGAAGUAUCCUUUGGGAUUCAAAC